AGCACGUAGGUGGGUUUGUAAGUCAGAUGUGAAAGCCUUCUGUUCAAAGGAAGAACGGCAUCUGAAACUGCAAAUCUUGAGUGUAGGAGGGGAGAGUGGAACUUCUGGUGGAGCGGUGAAAUGCGUAGAUAUCAGAAGGAACGUCGGCGGCGAAAGCGACUCUCUGGCCUAUUACUGACACUGAGUGUGCGAAAGUUAGGGGAGCAAACGGGAUUAGAUACCCCGGUAGUCCUAACCGUAAACGAUGGGCACUAAGUAGAGGGG
rnacentral:rRNA from 1 species